rnacentral:tRNA from 1 species
AAUAGCAGUGCCUGAUUAAAGGGUUAUCUUGAUAGGAUAAAUUAAGUAAUUAAAAUUACCUCUAUUA